rnacentral:tRNA from 1 species
GAGACAUUAGUAAACACAUUACAUCACUUUGUCAAGGUGAAAUAGUGGGUUAAAACCCCACAUGACUUA